GAAUAUGUAGAGUGGUAUAAUUCCUGCUUAGCACGCAGAGGUUCCUAGGUUCAAUUCCUGGCAUCUCCA
rnacentral:tRNA from 1 species